UACGUAGGGUGCGAGCGUUGUCCGGAAUUAUUGGGCGUAAAGGGCUCGUAGGCGGUUUGUCGCGUCGGGAGUGAAAACAUCCAGCUUAACUGGGUGCUUGCUUUCGAUACGGGCAGACUUGAGGUAUGCAGGGGAGAAUGGAAUUCCUGGUGUAGCGGUGAAAUGCGCAGAUAUCAGGAGGAACACCGGUGGCGAAGGCGGUUCUCUGGGCAUUACCUGACGCUGAGGAGCGAAAGCGUGGGGAGCGAACAGG
rnacentral:rRNA from 1 species